ACACUGGGACUGAGACACGGCCCAGACUCCUACGGGAGGCAGCAGUGGGGAAUAUUGCACAAUGGGCGCAAGCCUGAUGCAGCGACGCCGCGUGAGGGACGACGGCCUUCGGGUUGUAAACCUCUUUCAGCAGGGAAGAAGCGAAAGUGACGGUACCUGCAAAAGAAGCACCGGCUAACUACGUGCCAGCAGCCGCGGUAAUACGUAGGGUGCGAGCGUUGUCCGGAAUUAUUGGGCGUAAAGAGCUUGUAGGCGGUUCGUCGCGUCUGCAGUGAAAAUCCGGGGCUCAACCCCGGACUUGCUGUGGGUACGGGCGAACUAGAGUGUGGUAGGGGAGACUGGAAUUCCUGGUGUAGCGGUGGAAUGCGCAGAUAUCAGGAGGAACACCGAUGGCGAAGGCAGGUCUCUGGGCCAUAACUGACGCUGAGAAGCGAAAGCAUGGGGAGCGAACAGGAUUAGAUACCCUGGUAGUCCAUGCCGUAAACGUUGGGCGCUAGGUGUGGGGCUCAUUCCACGAGUUCCGUGCCGCAGCUAACGCAUUAAGCGCCCCGCCUGGGGAGUACGGCCGCAAGGCUAAAACUCAAAGGAAUUGACGGGGGCCCGCACAAGCGGCGGAGCAUGCGGAUUAAUUCGAUGCAACGCGAAGAACCUUACCAAGGCUUGACAUAUACCGGAAACACUCAGAGAUGGGUGCCCCGUAAGGUCGGUAUACAGGUGGUGCAUGGUUGUCGUCAGCUCGUGUCGUGAGAUGUUGGGUUAAGUCCCGCAACGAGCGCAACCCUCGUUCUAUGUUGCCAGCGCGUUAUGGCGGGGACUCAUAGGAGACUGCCGGGGUCAACUCGGAGGAAGGUGGGGAUGACGUCAAAUCAUCAUGCCCCUUAUGUCUUGGGCUUCACGCAUGCUACAAUGGCCGGUACAAAGGGCUGCGAUACCGCGAGGUGGAGCGAAUCCCAAAAAACCGGUCUCAGUUCGGAUUGGGGUCUGCAACUCGACCCCAUAAAGUCGGAGUCGCUAGUAAUCGCAGAUCAGCAACGCUGCGGUGAAUACGUUCCCGGGCCUUGUACACACCGCCCGUCAAGUCACGAAAGUCGGUAACACCCGAAGCCGGUGGCCCAACCCUUGUGGAGGGAGCCGUCGAAGGUGGGACCGGCGAUUGGGACUAAGUCGUAACAAGGUAGCCGUACCGGAAGGUGCGGCUG
rnacentral:rRNA from 1 species